GGAGUUGUAGCUCAGUGGUAGAGCACUUGCCUAUCGUGUGAGGCACUGGGUUCGAUUCUCAGCACUGCA
rnacentral:tRNA from 1 species